GCCCUUAGAGUUUGAUCCUGGCUCAGAACGAACGCUGGCGGCAGGCCUAACACAUGCAAGUCGAGCGAGGACUUCGGUCCUAGCGGCGGACGGGUGAGUAACGCGUGGGAACGUGCCCCUUGGUACGGAAUAGUCCCGGGAAACUGGGUUUAAUACCGUAUGAUCUCUACGGAGGAAAGAUUUAUCGCCAAGGAAUCGGCCCGCGUUGGAUUAGGUAGUUGGUGGGGUAAUGGCCUACCAAGCCGACGAUCCAUAGCUGGUUUGAGAGGAUGAUCAGCCACACUGGGACUGAGACACGGCCCAGACUCCUACGGGAGGCAGCAGUGGGGAAUCUUAGACAAUGGGGGAAACCCUGAUCUAGCCAUGCCGCGUGAGCGAUGAAGGCCUUAGGGUUGUAAAGCUCUUUCGCUGGGGAAGAUAAUGACGGUACCCAGUAAAGAAGCCCCGGCUAACUCCGUGCCAGCAGCCGCGGUAAUACGGAGGGGGCUAGCGUUGUUCGGAAUUACUGGGCGUAAAGCGCGCGUAGGCGGGCUGGAAAGUUGGGGGUGAAAUCCCGGGGCUCAACCCCGGAACUGCCUCCAAAACUAUCAGCCUCGAGUUCGAGAGAGGUGAGUGG
rnacentral:rRNA from 1 species